rnacentral:misc_RNA from 1 species
AUGGGACGGCCCGCUGGGCUGUUCCCGCCCCUAUGCCCUUUUUUGGGUUUCCGGCCAGAGGCAUGCUGGGAGCGUCACAUGCAAAUUGAGCGUGCACCCAGCGUUCCGCCCUUUCUACGCUGGGCCGGUUAUCGACCCGGCCCAGUGCGCAGGCGCGGGAAAGUUGAACUAAUAAAGUUUGUACGAGUUCAGUGGAGGAGACCGCAAGUUGAGUGGAGGAGGCGGCGGUGGGGCCCCGGACCAGGUCAGCGGGGUGUUGACGAGGGGUGGGGUGAGGAGGGAAGAGGAGGGGGCCGGGAUCCAGUGGUGGGCACCCCAGUCCCGCUUCUCUGAUAUCCAAGGGUCCAGGGUCCUCUAGAUUCCAGCAGGGGUCGGAGAUUUGGAACUACACCUCACAGCAGGCUGCGCGGCGAAGAAGCGCGGACCUAGGGGAAGAUUUGCCCUGAAACCUCUUGGGAUUGGUAGUUCCCGAUGCUUUAAGGGUUUCAGGAGUUUGGCAUAUGCCUCUUAUAGAAUCCAGGAGUUGGGGCGCUAAGCCUCUUCUUCCUGGGAGACCUAAGGGUCUGGGGCUCCAGUUCCUUUUUCUCUAAGACUCAGAAGUCCAGGACCCCAGCUCCCUCCUCCUUUAGACCCACGAAUCUGGGCACCCAGCCCCACCACCUUUCCUUGGAUCGAAGAGUCUUUUUCCUGAUCGCUUUUUCGUCUGAGGACUCAAGAGUCUAGGCCCCCAGACCCACACUCUCCAAAGGACCCAGGAGUCCAGGCCCUCAGCACCUUCCUUGGGACUCACAAGUCCUGGUCCCCAAGCCUCCACUUCUUGCUAAACCCUUGGAGUCCAGUCCCUAACCCUCUCUCUCACAGGUGCCUCCAUGGCAGGCUCUGAAGAGCUGGGGCUCCGGGAAGACACGCUGAGGGUCCUAGCUGCCUUCCUUAGGCGUGGUGAGGCUGCCGGGUCUCCUGUUCCAACUCCACCUAGCCCUGCCCAAGAAGAGCCAACAGACUUCCUGAGCCGCCUUCGAAGAUGUCUUCCCUGCUCCCUGGGGCGAGGAGCAGCCCCCUCUGAGUCCCCUCGGCCUUGCUCUCUGCCCAUCCGCCCCUGCUAUGGUUUAGAGCCUGGUAAGAGAUUUCCAUGAUCAUCUAUGAAGCCGGCAGAACACGGGAUAAGGCCCAGCUACUCCAGACUUCUAUGCUUUGGUGGCCCAGCGGCUGGAACAGCUGGUCCAAGAGCAGCUGAAAUCUCCGCCCAGCCCAGAAUUACAGGGUCCCCCAUCGACAGAGAAGGAAGCCAUACUGCGGAGGCUGGUGGCCCUGCUGGAGGAGGAGGCAGAAGUCAUUAACCAGAAGCUGGCCUCGGACCCCGCCCUGCGCAGCAAGCUGGUCCGCCUGUCCUCCGACUCUUUCGCCCGCCUGGUGGAGCUGUUCUGUAGCCGGGAUGACAGCUCUCGCCCAAGCCGAGCAUGCCCCGGGCCCCCGCCUCCUUCCCCGGAGCCCCUGGCCCGCCUGGCCCUAGCCAUGGAGCUGAGCCGGCGCGUGGCCGGGCUGGGGGGCACCCUGGCCGGACUCAGCGUGGAGCACGUGCACAGCUUCACGCCCUGGAUCCAGGCCCACGGGGGCUGGGAGGGCAUCCUGGCUGUUUCACCCGUGGACUUGAACUUGCCAUUGGACUGAGCUCUUUCUCAGAAGCUGCUACAAGAUGACACCUCAUGUCCCUGCCCUCUUCGUGUGCUUUUCCAAGUCUUCCUAUUCCACUCAGGGCUGUGGGGUGGUGGUUGCCCUACCUGUUUUUGCCAAAAAUAAAUUGUUUAAAACUUUUCUUAUUAAAAACGUUACAAAGUA